rnacentral:rRNA from 1 species
AAUCUUCCGCAAUGGACGAAAGUCUGACGGAGCAACGCCGCGUGAGUGAUGAAGGUUUUCGGAUCGUAAAACUCUGUUGUUAGGGAAGAACAAGUAUCGGAGUCACUGCCGGUACCUUGACGGUACCUGACGAGAAAGCCACGGCUAACUACGUGCCAGCAGCCGCGGUAAUACGUAGGUGGCAAGCGUUAUCCGGAAUUAUUGGGCGUAAAGCGCGCGCAGGCGGUUUCUUAAGUCUGAUGUGAAAGCCCACGGCUCAACCGUGGAGGGUCAUUGGAAACUGGGAAGCUUGAGUGCAGAAGAGGAGAGUGGAAUUCCAUGUGUAGCGGUGAAAUGCGUAGAGAUAUGGAGGAACACCAGUGGCGAAGGCGACUCUCUGGUCUGUAACUGACGCUGAGGCGCGAAAGCGUGGGGAUCAAACA